AUUGAACGCUGGCGGCAGGCCUAACACAUGCAAGUCGAACGAGUGGCGGACGGGUGAGUAAUGUCUUGGAAACUGACUGAUGGAGGGGGAUAACUACUGGAAACGGUAGCUAAUACCGCAUACCAUCAGAUGUUCCCAGAUGGGAUUAGCUUGUUGGUGGGGUAACGGCUCACCAAGCCGACGAUACCUAGCUGGUCUGAGAGGAUGACCAGCCACACUGGAACUGAGACACGGUCCAGACUCCUACGGGAGGCAGCAGUGGGGAAUAUUGCACAAUGGGCGCAAGCCUGAUGCAGCCAUGCCGCGUGUAUGAAGAAGGUCUUCGGGUUGUAAAGUACUUUCAGCGGGGAGGAGUUACCCGAAGAGGAAGCACCGGCUAACUCCGUGCCAGCAGCCGCGGUAAUUC
rnacentral:rRNA from 1 species